rnacentral:rRNA from 1 species
GAUGAACGCUAGCUACAGGCUUAACACAUGCAAGUCGAGGGGCAGCAUGAACUUAGCUUGCUAAGUUUGAUGGCGACCGGCGCACGGGUGAGUAACACGUAUCCAACCUUCCGUUUACUCAGGGAUAGCCUUUCGAAAGAAAGAUUAAUACCUGAUAGUAUGGUGAGAUUGCAUGAUAGCACCAUUAAAGAUUUAUUGGUAAACGAUGGGGAUGCGUUCCAUUAGGUAGUAGGCGGGGUAACGGCCCACCUAGCCGACGAUGGAUAGGGGUUCUGAGAGGAAGGUCCCCCCACAUUGGAACUGAGACACGGUCCAAACUCCUACGGGAGGCAGCAGUGAGGAAUAUUGGUCAAUGGGCGAGAGCCUGAACCAGCCAAGUAGCGUGAACGGAUGACUGCCCUAUGGGUUGUAGACUUCUUUAUACGGGAAUACAUCAUCC